rnacentral:rRNA from 1 species
CGAAAACGAAUUCUCUCUUGAGUGGAUCCUGAGUACGACGGAGCACGUGAAAUUCCGUCGGAAUCUGGGAGGACCAUCUCCUAAGGCUAAAUACUCUCUAGUGACCGAUAGUGAACCAGUACCGUGAGGGAAAGGUGAAAAGUACCCCGGAAGGGGAGUGAAAGAGAACUUGAAACCGUGUGCUUACAAGUAGUCAGAGCCCGUUAAUGGGUGAUGGCGUGCCUUUUGUAGAAUGAACCGGCGAGUUACGAUCUGAUGCAAGGUUAAGCAGAAAAUGUGGAGCCGUAGCGAAAGCGAGUCUGAAUAGGGCGAAUGAGUAUUUGGUCGUAGACCCGAAACCAGGUGAUCUACC